GUGAGUUCCUGCUUGAUGAGUAUAUAACUAAGUUAUUAAGAUGUUAGAGUAACUUAAAAAAUUAUUUAUAGUUUAGAUAUUAAAGGGUUUAAAAAGUUUAUUAAUAGUUUAUAUACUGAAUUGAAUAAAAAAAUGGAGGUGUAGGAUGGAAAAACCUAUAUACAAUUGUUAAGUUAUUAUGCGCCUAUAUAUAAGGAAGUGAAUGGGUUAUAUUGUGAAGACGAUGGAUUUUUCAAAUCUAAAAUGUGAAUAGUAAUUUUAGAUUAUCCUCCAUUGAAAAAAGAACCUAUUAAUUAAAUAAGAAAUUAUAAUGGAAGAAAAUAAUAGUAUUUAAUAUGGGAAAAAUGAUUCAAAAUCCAAACCAUUAACUAAUAAUUUUUUUUUUCAUUUUUAGCACAGAUAUGAAAAUUAGAUUGGAAAAAUAUACAAUUGUUAGAUAUGGAAACAAAGAAAGAUAAAUGCAAAGCAAUUGGUCAUGCAUGAACAUGCAACAUGUCUAAUGCUCAUAUCGGU
rnacentral:lncRNA from 1 species